UUAAGCGACUAAGCGUACACGGUGGAUGCCCUGGCAGUCAGAGGCGAUGAAGGACGUGCUAAUCUGCGAUAAGCGUCGGUAAGGUGAUAUGAACCGUUAUAACCGGCGAUUUCCGAAUGGGGAAACCCAGUGUGAUUCGACACACUAUCAUUAACUGAAUCCAUAGGUUAAUGAGGCGAACCGGGGGAACUGAAACAUCUAAGUACCCCGAGGAAAAGAAAUCAACCGAGAUUCCCCCAGUAGCGGCGAGCGAACGGGGAGCAGCCCAGAGCCUGAAUCAGUAUGUGUGUUAGUGGAAGCGUCUGGAAAGGCGCGCGAUACAGGGUGACAGCCCCGUACACAAAAAUGCACAUGCUGUGAGCUCGAUGAGUAGGGCGGGACACGUGGUAUCCUGUCUGAAUAUGGGGGGACCAUCCUCCAAGGCUAAAUACUCCUGACUGACCGAUAGUGAACCAGUACCGUGAGGGAAAGGCGAAAAGAACCCCGGCGAGGGGAGUGAAAAAGAACCUGAAACCGUGUACGUACAAGCAGUGGGAGCACGCUUAGGCGUGUGACUGCGUACCUUUUGUAUAAUGGGUCAGCGACUUAUAUUCUGUAGCAAGGUUAACCGAAUAGGGGAGCCGAAGGGAAACCGAGUCUUAACUGGGCGUUAAGUUGCAGGGUAUAGACCCGAAACCCGGUGAUCUAGCCAUGGGCAGGUUGAAGGUUGGGUAACACUAACUGGAGGACCGAACCGACUAAUGUUGAAAAAUUAGCGGAUGACUUGUGGCUGGGGGUGAAAGGCCAAUCAAACCGGGAGAUAGCUGGUUCUCCCCGAAAGCUAUUUAGGUAGCGCCUCGUGAAUUCAUCUCCGGGGGUAGAGCACUGUUUCGGCAAGGGGGUCAUCCCGACUUACCAACCCGAUGCAAACUGCGAAUACCGGAGAAUGUUAUCACGGGAGACACACGGCGGGUGCUAACGUCCGUCGUGAAGAGGGAAACAACCCAGACCGCCAGCUAAGGUCCCAAAGUCAUGGUUAAGUGGGAAACGAUGUGGGAAGGCCCAGACAGCCAGGAUGUUGGCUUAGAAGCAGCCAUCAUUUAAAGAAAGCGUAAUAGCUCACUGGUCGAGUCGGCCUGCGCGGAAGAUGUAACGGGGCUAAACCAUGCACCGAAGCUGCGGCAGCGACGCUUAUGCGUUGUUGGGUAGGGGAGCGUUCUGUAAGCCUGCGAAGGUGUGCUGUGAGGCAUGCUGGAGGUAUCAGAAGUGCGAAUGCUGACAUAAGUAACGAUAAAGCGGGUGAAAAGCCCGCUCGCCGGAAGACCAAGGGUUCCUGUCCAACGUUAAUCGGGGCAGGGUGAGUCGACCCCUAAGGCGAGGCCGAAAGGCGUAGUCGAUGGGAAACAGGUUAAUAUUCCUGUACUUGGUGUUACUGCGAAGGGGGGACGGAGAAGGCUAUGUUGGCCGGGCGACGGUUGUCCCGGUUUAAGCGUGUAGGCUGGUUUUCCAGGCAAAUCCGGAAAAUCAAGGCUGAGGCGUGAUGACGAGGCACUACGGUGCUGAAGCAACAAAUGCCCUGCUUCCAGGAAAAGCCUCUAAGCAUCAGGUAACAUCAAAUCGUACCCCAAACCGACACAGGUGGUCAGGUAGAGAAUACCAAGGCGCUUGAGAGAACUCGGGUGAAGGAACUAGGCAAAAUGGUGCCGUAACUUCGGGAGAAGGCACGCUGAUAUGUAGGUGAAGUCCCUCGCGGAUGGAGCUGAAAUCAGUCGAAGAUACCAGCUGGCUGCAACUGUUUAUUAAAAACACAGCACUGUGCAAACACGAAAGUGGACGUAUACGGUGUGACGCCUGCCCGGUGCCGGAAGGUUAAUUGAUGGGGUUAGCGCAAGCGAAGCUCUUGAUCGAAGCCCCGGUAAACGGCGGCCGUAACUAUAACGGUCCUAAGGUAGCGAAAUUCCUUGUCGGGUAAGUUCCGACCUGCACGAAUGGCGUAAUGAUGGCCAGGCUGUCUCCACCCGAGACUCAGUGAAAUUGAACUCGCUGUGAAGAUGCAGUGUACCCGCGGCAAGACGGAAAGACCCCGUGAACCUUUACUAUAGCUUGACACUGAACAUUGAGCCUUGAUGUGUAGGAUAGGUGGGAGGCUUUGAAGUGUGGACGCCAGUCUGCAUGGAGCCGACCUUGAAAUACCACCCUUUAAUGUUUGAUGUUCUAACGUGGACCCGUAAUCCGGGUUGCGGACAGUGUCUGGUGGGUAGUUUGACUGGGGCGGUCUCCUCCUAAAGAGUAACGGAGGAGCACGAAGGUUGGCUAAUCCUGGUCGGACAUCAGGAGGUUAGUGCAAUGGCAUAAGCCAGCUUGACUGCGAGCGUGACGGCGCGAGCAGGUGCGAAAGCAGGUCAUAGUGAUCCGGUGGUUCUGAAUGGAAGGGCCAUCGCUCAACGGAUAAAAGGUACUCCGGGGAUAACAGGCUGAUACCGCCCAAGAGUUCAUAUCGACGGCGGUGUUUGGCACCUCGAUGUCGGCUCAUCACAUCCUGGGGCUGAAGUAGGUCCCAAGGGUAUGGCUGUUCGCCAUUUAAAGUGGUACGCGAGCUGGGUUUAGAACGUCGUGAGACAGUUCGGUCCCUAUCUGCCGUGGGCGCUGGAGAACUGAGGGGGGCUGCUCCUAGUACGAGAGGACCGGAGUGGACGCAUCACUGGUGUUCGGGUUGUCAUGCCAAUGGCACUGCCCGGUAGCUAAAUGCGGAAGAGAUAAGUGCUGAAAGCAUCUAAGCACGAAACUUGCCCCGAGAUGAGUUCUCCCUGACUCCUUGAGAGUCCUGAAGGAACGUUGAAGACGACGACGUUGAUAGGCCGGGUGUGUAAGCGCAGCGAUGCGUUGAGCUAACCGGUACUAAUGAACCGUGAGGCUUAACCUU
rnacentral:rRNA from 1 species